UACGGAGGGUGCGAGCGUUGUCCGGAAUCACUGGGCGUAAAGGGUGCGUAGGCGGCGCGGGAAGUCAUCGGUGAAAGUUCAGGGCUCAACUCUGAAUCGGCCGGUGAUACUCUCGUGCUUGAGCACUGUAGAGGCAGGUGGAAUUCCGGGUGUAGCGGUGGAAUGCGUAGAGAUCCGGAAGAACACCGGUGGCGAAGGCGGGUCUCUGGGCCGAUACUGACGCUGAGGAGCGAAAGCGUGGGGAGCGAACAGG
rnacentral:rRNA from 1 species